GGGCGCGUAGCUCAGUUGGCAGAGCAUCUGACUUUUAAUCAGAGGGUCACAGGUUCGAAUCCUGUCGCGCCUACCA
rnacentral:tRNA from 1 species